CUUUCAUUAAAGAUGCAUUUGUUGAGGUUCUAUGCCCAACAAGGUGUUAGUUAUGUGGCUGAAACUGAAAAUGUCCAUGAAGAUCCAAGACUCUAUUGCAAGUUGCUAUUCAGAGCCAAAAUAGAGAUAUUGCAAGAAUUUUGUUAGUCAAUGGUGCGGAUAAGACGAGAAGAAAGGGUCUGGAGGCUAUUAACAAAUAAAGUUCUAGAACCUCAUUAAUUCAGCUACUUCCUUUCCUACGUUACAUUCGUUUUAGUCAACAAGAAACUUGAAAAGAAUUGAGGGCCUGUUUGUCAUAAAAUGAGAAUGAAAAAUCUAUCUCUAAUGGAUAUGGGAAGCUUUCUCUCUAAAGAAGUUUAUAAAUAGGUAUCAUUUUAUUUAUUCUAAAUAAUUGUUUGACUGAUAUUUUAAAUUUAUUUCUCUCUAAAUAUGUUGUAAAAUUAUUAUGAUGCCCACUCUUUCAAGAUGAAAGAAUUAGAGGAUGUACAUGGAAGAAUUUAGCGUUAAUUAUAAGAGUUUUGGUAUGUAAAUGAAAGCAUUUGGU